rnacentral:snoRNA from 10 species
AUAAGAGAAAAACAACCCCAUUAAGAAGUGGGCAAAGUAAGGCCUUUGGGGAACAUGGAUGCUUAUUGCCUCUGCCUUCCUUGGCUGCCUACAUGG